GUUGAAGAUGUAUUUUUCUGUUUUCUGUCUGUGAGAGAGAGACAUCCAGAUCAGUCUUGUGAGCAACACAGCCAUGGUCCUGGGCAGCCAGCUCUAUGUCUCCCUGCUUGAACAGUGGGGGUGACCAAAUGACCUCCAAAGGUCCCUUCCAACCUUAACUCCUCUCUUUCUGUAUGAUUCUGUGAUUCUGCGUUGUCUCAAUCCCACAAGAUAAUGAACCUUCUGAACAACCUGCCAGAUAUUAGCAUAAUUCCUUAAACAGUAAGCAUGUGCUUGGCUCUUCCUGCCCUUCAUUGCUUAUCUGAAUAAGGACCAGAAUAUUCUUAUAAAACAGUUUGAAACUUGAAUUUUCUACACUGUUACUGAGAAGUUGACAUUUCAGUAAAACAUUUGGUUUGAAAGAGAACAACAAUAGUUAAAAUUUUCCCUUCAUUAGAAAGUGAAAGUAGAAGAAGAGAAGCAGAAACGCAUACUGGGCUCUAAGAUACACAGUGUGUUUUGCAGUAUGGCAUACGUCAUGACCUUCAGUGCUUUGAAUUAAGUAGGAAAAAGAGCAAGCCUGAAGUACAGGAUCAUAGGGCUUACAAGGAACACAAAGUCAUAUAGUCCAGGUGUAGUGGAAAUGCUAAGUGACGGCUUGAAACAGUAACUGAACACCUGGUGGGAAGGCAAGGCCAACCCAGGGGAGCUCAGGUGCAUGCAAUGCACCUUAGUGACCAGAAGGGCUGAAGCCAGGAUCCACCCCUUCCCAGACCUCAUUUAAGGGUUGGCAAAGCUCUUUUGCUAGAGAUUUCAGUGUACCUGAAGCCUUCCAAGGGUUUUUACCAGACCUUAGAACUAUGGAUCACUUAGGUGCAGUGGCAGAAAAGGUAGAGAAACUACGGCAAGAGGAAGGAGAACAAGAUUUACUUCAGAAAGCCAGGACAAUAGGCUGGGCCAGAUGUUCAUCUGGCAUAAAUUAGCAUUGCUCUGUUGAUACUACUAGAGACAGGAAGACUUCUAUCAAGCUGUGGUCAGUUCCUGUAUGAUUAAACAUAUAUUAUGUCAUGCAUGGGGUAUAAAAUGCUGUUGAAUCAGGAUUCCUUUUCAACUACUCUGCACUUUAUUUGCCCUGUAUGUUAUAAUGAUUAUAGAAGGUGUAAAGCAGGCCUCUGUAACUUUAGUGAAACAUAUCCAGUGGGAAUAUUGGGGAAAAAAAAACAGUGAGGGUGACUGCAUCAUGGAGUGAUCUGAAGAUGUAUCAGUAUGGAAGGGAGGUUAGAAAGGCUAGAUUGCUAAGGAGUCGGGGGACCAGUUGCAUAUUGUUUAUGAUGAGAGCUAGUGAGGAUUUAAGGAAAAUACCAAGUAGCUGGUAAACGUACAUACAGAGGAGCCCUUUUCCAGACUGCUGUGAGUGCCACUGGACUUUGCUGAAGUAAAAAAUAGAAAUGGGCUCAUAAAACACUAAAAAACAUAAUGAGGGUAGGACUGUCAGCGGGUACAAAGUCUAAGGUGGAUGCGAAGUGUGCCUCGAAAGGUCUCCAGCUCAGUAAUUGCUCCCAGUGAAACUGAACCCCUGCUAGAGGAUGCUCGUGAUACAUCUGCAAUUUCUUAUGCUCCUCUCCCAAGUAUCUGUGACUGGAUGGGGUUUUGGAAGUGCUAUUGGGCCAACUGUGGUGGAGCACUGCACAAUUGUUUUCAAGCUGUUUAUGUCAUUUGUAAUACAUGUUGCAUUAGUAGAUGUAUAUAUGGAUGCAAAUACAUGAUAAUAUGAGCCAGUGGAGCAGAUCUUUGGCUGAUGUUAGUGUAAUUGCAUUGGUUUCAACAGAGCUGUGCUGGCUCAUGAGAAGCUUGUCUGUUCCAGGCCUUAGCCACCAAUGUGCUAUUUAGUUACAUGCUGGUGCAGUACUGUGAAAAUUAAUGCAAUUAUAGAAAUUUAAUAUAGCAACAAUGAAGUCAUAAAUGGCAAACAUGGAUUUUUGCUUUAUUCUUUAUUGUAUACUCAACUAAAAUAUGCCUUACUUAGCUUUCAGUGUUCUGUUAUUAAUCUAUUGAAGCAUGAAAAGUAUACUGAAACUAAACAGAUUCUCUGAAAGAGAGAGAAAAUUAUGACUUAAACUGGAAGAAGUCAUGAAUAAUGAAAAAUACAAAACAUUGUUUUCUCCAAUCUGUGAAACACUGAUUAUAAAUGUAUAGUAUACAUCAAAAUUAGCAGGAUGAAAUGCCUGAUGCAUUGGGACACAGAACAGAAUGCAGGGCUAUACCCUGAAAACUCCUAGUUCUACAUAUCAUAAAUAGCAGUAAGUUAAUUCCUGUAUAUUAAUGUGAUACUACUCACAAAAAGAUUAUCUACAUUAUGGUUUGCUUAUGACAGAUUCUGCAGUGCAAUUUUAAAGAGAACGUUAUGGAAGGUCUAUAGUCUAUGCUCUUCCACUGAUUUCACAUAUGCAGCACAACACUUCUGAGGUCCUUUCAGAGUUCCAUUUAAACCUUUUUGUAAGCAGUCUCUAGCAAUAGUUCUGACCUAAGCUUAUCCUCUGAAAUAAUUAAAUAUAGU